GUUUUUUGGUGUUUUUAAUUUGUUUCUCUAAAAAUAAUUCGAAAAAUAAAAAAAUAAAAAUAAAAAUCAAAUACAUUAAAAAAUCGAUUAUGUGAGUGGCACGAUUUUCAUGGAAUUGGUAAUAGGGGAUCGCAAUCGUUAAAAUUUUAUUUUUUUAUUUGUUACAGACCUUUAAGUAAAAAUAAAGUGAAAAUAGAGGAAAUUAAACUGUAUUUUGGUCAAAAUACACACACACACACAAAUACAUAUAUAUAUAUAUAUAUUCAUGUGUGAUUUAUCAAUAAUCAUAUAUAUAUAUAUACAUGUCUGUGUCUUGUAUAUAUAUAUAUAUAUACACACACACACACUCAUGGAUUCCAUAUAUAUGUGCUUUUCGAAUUUCUUCAAUGAUCUAAUACCCCUUUUGCAGUUUUCAUAUAUAUAUAUAUAUAUGGUCUUAAUUUAUUUUAUUGAACUAGGAUUUGUUUUUCAUGAUCAUUGGAUUCUCAUUUAAAAUAUGAAAGCGAACCCAUUAAUAGAAUUCAAUAAUUAUUAACAAUGAACCUUAUUUUAUUAAAAUGGACCUUACUUGAGUUUAACUAUACAUAUAUUUCUUAUGCAUAUUGCAAUUUUACUUAUUGGUUGCUCAAAAAGCUAGAUGAAGAAAACAAAUUAAGUCAUAUAUUUGAUCAAGCUACCAAUAACUAAUUAAUUUCUGGGUGGUUCCCUGAACUACACAACAUAUAUAUAUAUAUAUAUAUAGAUAAAAAGACUAAGUUAGUCUUUUAUAGAAAAUUCUAAAUUUAGUUAAAUUAUACAUGCUUAUGUGUAAAACUAGCUAUUAAACAAAGUGAAAUAUGGUUGUUGUUUUAUAAAAUUAUUCCAAAGGCACAAGCAAACAAUGGCUGAAUAGGAAAAUACCCGUUAAUGCAAAAGAUAGAACUGAUAAUGUACCACAUCAGCAGCCAAGUAAGCUUCUGUGUCUUCAUACAACAGCUCAGCAAAAGGUUGCCAUGUCAGCUGAGGAGAAAUCAAAUUCAGUUUGAUUACCAACAUCAACAGAUUGGUUUAAGAGUGAUAUAUCUCUAAAAAAAAUUAGUAACAUAUAAAGCUAUAUCAAUAGGAUUGCCUCAAGAUAGACUUCUAGAGGAUGAGAUGUUUAGCUGGUUGUUACUCUUCUCAAUCGUGUAAAUACAUUAAGGCUAUAAAGCUGUUGUUAUACUGUAUUGAAAGGUAGGUGAAAUAGUAUUAGGGAGUAGGUAGCACAAAAGAUGUGUAAACCUUUUACAAAAUAAUUCAGUGUUGAAAAUUUCAUUUUCAAAUUUUACUUUUCAUCAUUGUAUUAGAGUUAUAGAUUUAAGAGAUUCUCAGUUCAAAACUCAAUAACUCCACCUAGAAAGAUAAAAUAAAAAUAAAAUAAAUAGAAACACAUUUAGAACCCGAAAAGAGGUGGGCCUACAUGUAAAGGGGAGUUUUAAAGAAAAAUAUAAAUAAAAUGAAAGUCCACCUUUCAUUAGCUUAAGCUUUUGGAAUCAAUGAUAAUUCAAUAUGGUAUCAGAGCAGCCUACAAUCCUGGACCUAAAUGUUAGGAUGGAAGUGGAGCUUAGACUUUCAAUCCAGUUGCUUCAUCAAUGUUCAAGCCUAGACUUGGAUUCAUCAAACAUUUUGCUGUGGUGGUCUCAAGUUUCUCCUCUCAUCCGAAGCCUAGGAUUCAUCACCUUGUUUCAAGCAGCAUUAAACCAUUGAAGGAGCUUGAAGUGGAAGGAGGUAACAAAGUUAUUAAUCUAAAUUUCAUUACGUGGGUUAACAAUGAUGGCCUUUUGAUCACAUGGUUACUCAGCAUCAUAUCUGUAGAUGUAUGGAAAGCAAUUGAUGAACAUCUUUUAUCAGCCACCAAAGAAAAGGAGACCUUUCUUAAUGAUAGCCUCAUGGGAUUGAAGAAAGGAAACCAGUCAAUCAAUGACUUUAUUUGAAGAUUUACUUCAAUUUGUGACAAUUUGGCCGCCAUUGGCAAACCUAUUGAUGAUCUAGAUAAAUGUUUUCAUUUAUCCCAUGGCUUAGUUGCUAAGUAUCAGCCACUUCAUUUAGCUAUGCUAUCUAGCCUCCAUUUCCCUCCUUCACUCAAUUUGUUUUGGCAUUAAAGGCAUAUGAAUAUGUGUUUACUGACAACCAAUUAGAAUAGAAGCAACACAUGGAUUAUUCACAAUUCAACACCCCAAUCUAAGAAAAUGCUUCAGUUUGAAUUUUUAAUCAUGUUUGAUUAAGGUUGAUAGAGAUGGACCAAGUGGAUUCUGUGGUUGAUUUUUUAGUGUGGAUGAAAUUUCAUAUUGAUCGAGGUACCAUUAUAGGGUACACAUUAAUCCGAGCCUGUAAAGUAGCAGCACGUUGAAAACGGAGUUUUACUUUAAUAGUUAUGGUUAAAACAAAAAUUAAUCAUAACUGAUUUUACUAAGCAGUAGAAUAUUCAAAGAAGUUUUUAAAUUAUGCCACAUGUCAUCCUAUUAAAAUAUUAUUUUUUAUUUUAUUUUAUUUAUUAUUAAAAUAUUAUUUUAUUUUAUUUAUUUCUUUUUCUUUUUCCCCACGUGGGAAAACAAGGGAGAACCCCCAUUCCUUCUUCCUCUUUCUUCUAUUUCUUUCUGGAACUCUCUCUUGCUUUCCCUCUUUUCCUCCCCACGGGUCAUCCUCCUCCUUGUGCUGCUAUCAAUACCGGCCAGCCUGAGCAUCACCGCCACAUCCAGCCGAUGACCCAUCAUGCCGGAAAUUCCAUGGUGAUCUCCAUUCACUGAAUCGGCCAGGGACGGGCCGGAAAGCCCCUAUAGAAGCUGGCGGUGAGCUUACUGUUUGGUUGCCGAUUUCUAGCCUUCUCCGGCCAAAUUUUUUGCUCUCUCUCCCUAAUUUGUACCUUCUGAGUUUAGCUCAAUUCGAGCUCGUUUGUGGUGCACCAUGAGGACAUGCUCAACAGCGCUUCCCGAUAGAAAUUCCGACCACUGCCGACAAGUUAUGCUAAGUUACUCUAAAUAUUGAUGUGAUUAGUGCACGGGUGGAUAUGAUGAGGGCGCAGGUUUAUACUCUCUACUGGGACGCCAGGGUGGCCUAAAUGCAAGUUUCUGUCUUUAACUUCCCCAUCAAGCGGUAUUUUGGGAUGCUGGGCAUCGUUAAAUAUCAUUGGUAUAUAGUAUGAGCAUCAAAUAUCUUUUGUGUGUAUAUAUAUAUAUAUUUUUUAUAUUUGUAUGUAUCACACCGUACGAGGACGAUAAUCCAAUGUGGUCCACGAAGAGCUAGCUUCGUAGCUAUGUUGCCUAUGAUUGAGGGGAUUGGACGGUCAAUCUAGGCAACUAUCCGGGACUGUAUUGGUUGCAGGAUGUUGACUACAGCUGGAAUAAUGGAUUGUGCAAUAUGUUGGAGGGUAUCGUUUGUACCCCCGAUAUGAGUGUAUAUUUCAUAAUAUAUUUUGAAUUUUAAAAUAUUAUUUGAUCUUAUAUUAUUUUAUCUAUCCAUAAUCUAAUUUUCUAACAUUA